rnacentral:rRNA from 1 species
UGGUGGGGUAACGGCCCACCAAGCCUAAGAUCCGUACGGGCUGGGGGAGCAGGAGCCCGGAGAUGGACACUGAGACACGGGUCCAGGCCCUACGGGGCGCAGCAGGCGCGAAACCUCCGCAAUGCGCGAAAGCGCGACGGGGGGACCCCGAGUGCCCUGCCUCUGGCAGGGCUUUUCCGGAGUGUAAACAGCUCCGGGAAUAAGGGCUGGGCAAGUCCGGUGCCAGCAGCCGCGGUAAUACCGGCGGCCCAAGUGGUGGCCACUGUUAUUGGGCCUAAAGCGUCCGUAGCCGGCCCGGUAAGUCUCUGCUUAAAUCCCGCGGCUUAACCGCGGGGCUGGCAGAGAUACUGCCGGGCUUGGGACCGGGAGAGGCCGGGGGUACCCCAGGGGUAGCGGUGAAAUGCGUUGAUCCCUGGGGGACCACCUGUGGCGAAGGCGCCCGGCUGGAACGGGUCCGACGGUGAGGGACGAAGGCCGGGGGAGCAAACCGGAUUAGAUACCCGGGUAGUCCCGGCUGUAAACUCUGCGGACUAGGUGUCGCGUGCCCUUCGGGGGCACGCGGUGCCGAAGGGAAGCCGUUAAGUCCGCCGCCUGGGGAGUACGGUCGCAAGACUGAAACUUAAAGGAAUUGACGG